AUGCAGCGAAGCCUCCUCCAGCCCUGGCUGUGGGGGCUCCAGGGUGUAAAGGAUCCUAGUGCCCGCGCAGGCGCCAGGGAGACGCGGGGGGGGGGUCGCUCCCCUCGGCCCCUUGGCUGGCUCCCCUGGUGCAGUGGAACCCACGCACUGUCUCUGGCACAAUUACAGACCACAGGCGGGCCUGUCCCCUCAGGAAUCCAACUGGAGUCGGGCUCUGAGUUUAAAGAGCACAGGCUCAGGCCUCACCGGGACACACCUCGGGCGGGAUGGGCGGCGUCUGGCUUCCGUCCCCCUUCCCACCACCAGGCCUUCGCAGCACACUUCAGUAACUGGGUCAACUUCCCUUUAAAAUUCAUCAUGACUUUUCAUUUUUCCAGGAACAUAGGGAGGACGAUGGCUACGAAGGCAAGUAAUGCAGUGUGAGCCUCGCUCCCCAUGGAGCCACACCUGCCCCGCCUGGGGGCAGCAGGACCUCGGCCCCCCGGCGACCUGCAGUCCUUGCAGGGGGAGAAGGGCCUGGUGUCCCCCUCCCCCAUGGUCAGCGUGCGGCCUGCACCCACGUGGCCAGUGAGUCUGCAGCCAGAGCCUGUCUGUAGCUCCAUGGGGAGGGCAGGGGAGGCAUUAGGCAAGGCGCCCUCGGGCCCAGCCGGUGGCUGGGGAGCUAACAUGAGAUGCCCCUGAGCGGUUUCCCCCAGCCGUCCCAGCCCUGAAUGUGAGGGCUGGGGGCUGCCCUGCAGACCCUCGGAGGGGUGGACCGUCAUUUCACUUCGUGCCUGGGUGUCAUUUUCCCAAAUUAACUCAGCACGUUGUCAAGCGGCAACAGAAGGAUGACCAGCAGGUCCCCAGCCACUGCCGCCCCGGUGACUCAGGGCCCGGCCUUUUGGUCACACCUGGCCCCUGGUGCGCCAGUCCUGCUGUGCAUGCACUGUGACUCCUCUUCCCACCGGACACCCGCUCACCCUGGUCUCGCUUCUGCUUUGCCCCCCCAAGGCAAGCGGUAGAGCCAGGCCUGAGAGUGUGCCCCACAGUCCCCCGAGACCACGGCUCCAAGGCCGCCUGGCCCACGAGUGGACGCCUUAUGCACACUCACACACACGCCCCCUCCCCCCAGAGCAUCUUGCCUCAGGCUCCAGGAUGCUUUCUAGUUUAAAAAAAAAAAAGCAGGAAAAAUUCCCUGAAACAAGUGUGAAAGUUUCCAUUCAGUUACUACCACGAGCCACCUAGUAGUGAAAAUAACUAGUAAGUUUCAUUAGCAGUCCUGGCACCAAACGGUGACUGUCAUCUCUUUGUUGGAAAUCAGUUUCCUGCUGCAGCCGCGAACAGUCCACUAGGUUCUGAGCAGAGGCAGCUGCGGAAGCAAGGGUGUGGCGGGCAGGCCCACAGUCACCCUCCAAAUACCUAACUGGUGCUCUGUACAGAAUGG
rnacentral:lncRNA from 1 species